rnacentral:rRNA from 1 species
GAGGUUGGGAGAGGGAUGUGGAAUUCCAGGUGUAGCGGUGAAAUGCGUAGAUAUCUGGAGGAACACCGGUGGCGAAGGCGGCAUCCUGGACCGGUAUUGACGCUGAGGCGCGAAAGCCAGGGGAGCAAACGGGAUUAGAUACCCCGGUAGUCCUGGCCCUAAACGAUGAAUGCUUGGUGUGGCGGGUAUCGAUCCCUGCCGUGCCGAAGCUAACGCAUUAAGCAUUCCGCCUGGGGAGUACGGUCGCAAGGCUGAAACUCAAAUGAAUUGACGG